rnacentral:tRNA from 1 species
UAUGAAUAUGGCGAAAUAGGUAAACGCACUAAAUUUAGAUUUUAGUUAUUAUAAUAAGAGUUCAAAUCUCUUUAUUCAUAU